UAUUUUCCUUUUUUUCCCUCCGCCGCGGUAAUACGGAGGAUGCGAGCGUUAUCCGGAUUUAUUGGGUUUAAAGGGAGCGCAGACGGGUCGUUAAGUCAGCUGUGAAAGUUUGGGGCUCAACCUUAAAAUUGCAGUUGAUACUGGCGUCCUUGAGUGCGGUUGAGGUGUGCGGAAUUCGUGGUGUAGCGGUGAAAUGCUUAGAUAUCACGAAGAACUCCGAUUGCGAAGGCAGCACACUAAUCCGUAACUGACGUUCAUGCUCGAAAGUGUGGGUAUCAAACAGG
rnacentral:rRNA from 1 species